rnacentral:rRNA from 1 species
GAUGAACGCUGGCGGCGUGCUUAACACAUGCAAGUCGAACGAAGCAUUUAGAACAGAUUACUUCGGUUUGAAGUUCUUUAUGACUGAGUGGCGGACGGGUGAGUAACGCGUGGGUAACCUGCCUUGUACUGGGGGAUAGCAGCUGGAAACGGCUGGUAAUACCGCAUAAGCGCACAAUGUUGCAUGACAUGGUGUGAAAAACUCCGGUGGUAUAAGAUGGACCCGCGUCUGAUUAGCUAGUUGGUGAGAUAACAGCCCACCAAGGCGACGAUCAGUAGCCGACCUGAGAGGGUGACCGGCCACAUUGGGACUGAGACACGGCCCAGACUCCUACGGGAGGCAGCAGUGGGGAAUAUUGCACAAUGGAGGAAACUCUGAUGCAGCGACGCCGCGUGAGUGAAGAAGUAAUUCGUUAUGUAAAGCUCUAUCAGCAGGGAAGAUAGUGACGGUACCUGACGAAGAAGCUCCGGCUAAACACGUG